rnacentral:rRNA from 1 species
UACGUAGGGGGCGAGCGUUGUCCGGAUUUAUUGGGCGUAAAGAGCGUGUAGGCGGCCAGGUAGGUCUGCUGUGAAAACUCGAGGCUCAACCUCGAGACGUCGGCGGAAACCAUCUGGCUAGAGUCCGGAAGAGGAGAGUGGAAUUCCUGGUGUAGCGGUGAAAUGCGCAGAUAUCAGGAGGAACACCGAUUGCGAAGGCAGCUCGCUGGGACGUCACUGACGCUGAGACGCGAAAGCGUGGGGAGCAAACAGG